rnacentral:tRNA from 1 species
GGCCUCGUAGCUCAGCUGGUAGAGCGUGCACCUACCAAUCAUUGGCGGCGUCCAUGCGUGGGUUUGAAUCCCACCGAGGCUA